UACGUAGGGGGCAAGCGUUAUCCGGAUUUACUGGGUGUAAAGGGAGCGUAGACGGCGAUGCAAGUCUGAAGUGAAAGGCGGGGGCCCAACCCCCGGACUGCUUUGGAAACUGUAUGGCUGGAGUGCAGGAGAGGUAAGUGGAGUUCCUAGUGUAGCGGUGAAAUGCGUAGAUAUUAGGAGGAACACCAGUGGCGAAGGCGGCUUACUGGACUGUAACUGACGUUGAGGCUCGAAAGCGUGGGGAGCAAACAGG
rnacentral:rRNA from 1 species